rnacentral:rRNA from 1 species
UACGUAGGUGGCAAGCGUUGUCCGGAUUUACUGGGCGUAAAGAGCGCGCAGGCGGUCGUUCAAGUCGCGUGUGAAAUCUCCCGGCUCAACUGGGAGGGUGCGCCGAAAACUGGGGUGCUGGAGCGCGGGAGAGGAAAGCGGAAUUCCUGGUGUAGCGGUGAAAUGCGUAGAUAUCUGGAGGAACACCGGUGGCGAAGGCGGCAUCCUGGACCGGUAUUGACGCUGAGGCGCGAAAGCUAGGGGAGCAAACGGG